rnacentral:rRNA from 1 species
ACGCUAGCUACAGGCUUAACACAUGCAAGUCGAGGGGCAGCAUGGAAGAAGCUUGCUUCUUCUGAUGGCGACCGGCGCACGGGUGCGUAACGCGUAUCAAACCUGCCUCAUACUCGGGGAUAGCCUUGCGAAAGUAAGAUUAAUACCCGAUGUUGUUAUGUUGCCGCAUGGUGAUAUAACCAAAGAUUUAUCGGUAUGAGAUGGUGAUGCGUCCGAUUAGGUAGUAGGCGGGGUAACGGCCCACCUAGCCUUCGAUCGGUAGGGGUUCUGAGAGGAAGGUCCCCCACACUGGAACUGAGACACGGUCCAGACUCCUACGGGAGGCAGCAGUGAGGAAUAUUGGUCAAUGGACGGAAGUCUGAACCAGCCAAGUAGCGUGCAGGAUGACGGCCCUCCGGGUUGUAAACUGCUUUUAGUUGGGAAUAAAAAAGAGGACGUGUCCCCUAUUGUAUGUACCUUCAGAAAAAGGACCGGCUAAUUCCGUGCCAGCAGCCGCGGUAAUACGGAAGGUCCAGGCGUUAUCCGGAUUUAUUGGGUUUAAAGGGAGCGUAGGCGGAUUAUUAAGUCAGUGGUGAAAGACGGUGGCUCAACCAUCGUUAGCCAUUGAAACUGGUAGUCUUGAGUGCAGACAGGGAUGCUGGAACUCGUGGUGUAGCGGUGAAAUGCUUAGAUAUCACGAUGAACUCCGAUCGCGAAGGCAGGUGUCCGGGCUGCAACUGACGCUGAGGCUCGAAAGUGUGGGUAUCAAACAGGAUUAGAUACCCUGGUAGUCCACACAGUAAACGAUGUAUACUCGCGGUUUGCGAUACAAUGUAAGCCGCCAAGCGAAAGCAUUAAGUAUACCACCUGGGGAGUACGCCGGCAACGGUGAAACUCAAAGGAAUUGACGGGGGCCCGCACAAGCGGAGGAACAUGUGGUUU